rnacentral:piRNA from 1 species
CUGCAUAUGGCAAUCACUAGAUGGUCCA